rnacentral:rRNA from 1 species
CACGUAGGGGGCAAGCGUUGUCCGGAUUUAUUGGGCGUAAAGAGCUCGUAGGCGGUUCGGUAAGUCGGGUGUGAAACCUCCAGGCUCAACCUGGAGACGCCACCCGAUACUGCUGUGACUAGAGUCCGGUAGGGGAGCGUGGAAUCCUGGUGUAGCGGUGGAAUGCGCAGAUAUCAGGAGGAACACCGAUGGCGAAGGCAG